UGGGAAGAUAUUGGGCAAUGGCGCAAGCCUGACCCAGCAACGCCGCGUGAAGGAAGAAGGCUUUCGGGUUGUAAACUUCUUUUGUCGGGGGAAGAAACAAAUGACGGUACCCGACGAAUAAGCCACGGCUAACUACGUGCCAGCAGCCGCGGUAAUACGUAGGUGGCAAGCGUUAUCCGGAUUUACUGGGUGUAAAGGGCGUGUAGGCGGGAUUGCAAGUCAGAUGGUAAAAACUGGGGCGUCAACCUCCAGCCUGCAUUUGAAACUGUAGUUCUUGAGUGCUGGUAGAGGCAAUCGAAUUCCGUGUGUAGCGGUGAAAUGCGUAGAUAUACGGAGGAACACCAGUGGCGAAGGCGGAUUGCUGGACAGUAACUGACGCUGAGGCGCGAAAGCGUGGGGAGCAAACAGGAUUAGAUACCC
rnacentral:rRNA from 1 species